rnacentral:rRNA from 1 species
CAGUCGCCGCGGUAAUACGUAGGUGGCAAGCGUUGUCCGGAAUUAUUGGGCGUAAAGGGCUCGCAGGCGGUUUCUUAAGUCUGAUGUGAAAGCCCCCGGCUCAACCGGGGAGGGUUAUUGGAAACUGGGAAACUUGAGUGCAGAAGAGGAGAGUGGAAUUCCACGUGUAGCGGUGAAAUGCGUAGAGAUGUGGAGGAACACCAGUGGCGAAGGCGACUCUCUGGUCUGUAACUGACGCUGAGGAGCGAAAGCGUGGGGAGCGAACAGGAUUAGAUACCCGUGUAGUCCCUGUCUCUUAUAC